rnacentral:rRNA from 1 species
AUGGCAAAGUUAAUAAGGGCGCACGGUGGAUGCCUUGGCACUAAGAGCCGAUGAAGGACGUGACUAACGACGAUAUUCUAGGGGGAGCAGUAAGUACGCAUUGAUCCCUAGGUCUCCGAAUGGGGAAACCCAGCUGCUACUAGCAGUUAUUCAUGAGUGAAUACAUAGCUCAUGUAAAGGUAACGCAGAGAACUGAAACAUCUAAGUACCUGCAGGAAGAGAAAGUAAAAACGAUUUCGUAAGUAGCGGCGAGCGAACGCGAAGAAGGGCAAACCAAGAAGCUUGCUUCUUGGGGUUGUAGGACUGCAACGUGGACUUAAGCAUUAUAGUCGAAUAACCUGGGAAGGUUAAUCAAAGAGGGUAAUAAUCCCGUAGACGAAAUAGCGCUUAUACCUAGCAGUAUCCUGAGUAGGGCUGGACACGCGAAAUCCAGUUUGAAUCCGGGAGGACCAUCUCCCAACCCUAAAUACUCCUUAGUGACCGAUAGUGAACCAGUACCGUGAGGGAAAGGUGAAAAGAACCCCGAGAGGGGAGUGAAAUAGCACCUGAAACCGUGUGCCUACAAGAAGUUCGAGCCCGUUAAUGGGUGAGAGCGUGCCUUUUGUAGAAUGAACCGGCGAGUUACGUUAUGAUGCGAGGUUAAGUUGAAGAGACGGAGCCGUAGGGAAACCGAGUCUGAAUAGGGCGACUUAGUAUCAUGAUGUAGACCCGAAACCUAGUGACCUAUCCAUGAGCAGGGUGAAGGUGUGGUAAGACGCACUGGAGGCCCGAACCAGGACACGUUGAAAAGUGUUUGGAUGACUUGUGGAUAGCGGAGAAAUUCCAAACGAACUGGGAGAUAGCUGGUUCUCUCCGAAAUAGCUUUAGGGCUAGCGUCGAAAUGUAAGUGUAUUGGAGGUAGAGCACUGUUUGGGUGAGGGGUCCGUCUAGGAUUACCAAUCUCAGAUAAACUCCGAAUGCUAAUACACAUGUUCGGCAGUCAGACUGCGAGUGCUAAGAUCCGUAGUCGAAAGGGAAACAGCCCAGACCAACAGCUAAGGUCCCAAAAUAUAUGUUAAGUGGAAAAGGAUGUGGGGUUGCACAGACAACUAGGAUGUUAGCUCAGAAGCAGCUAUCAUUCAAAGAGUGCGUAAUAGCUCACUAGUCGAGUGACCCUGCGCCGAAAAUGUACCGGGGCUAAACAUAUUACCGAAGCUUUGGAUUGAUAUUUUAUCAAUGGUAGGAGAGCGUUCUUAACCGCGAUGAAGGUAUACCGUGAGGAGUGCUGGAGCGUUAAGAAGUGAGAAUGCCGGUAUGAGUAGCGCAAGAUAAGUGAGAAUCUUAUCCACCGUAAGACUAAGGUUUCCAGGGGAAGGCUCGUCCGCCCUGGGUUAGUCGGGACCUAAGGCGAGGCCGAAAGGCGUAGUCGAUGGACAACUGGUUGAUAUUCCAGUACUAGAUAUGAUCGUGAUGGAGGGACGCAGUAGGCUAAGAGAUGCCAGUUAAUGGAUUCUGGUCUAAGCAGUGAGGUGUGAGAUGUGUCAAAUGCAUUUCUCUUUAACAUUGAGCUGUGAUGGGGAAGCAACUACGGUUGCGAACUCUCUGAUGUCACACUGCCAAGAAAAGCUUCUAGCGUAAAGUCAUAUCUACCCGUACCGCAAACCGACACAGGUGGUCGAGGCGAGUAGCCUCAGGUGAUCGAGAGAACUCUCGUUAAGGAACUCGGCAAAAUAGCCCCGUAACUUCGGGAGAAGGGGUGCUGGUGUAAAAGCCAGCCGCAGUGAAUAGGCCCAAGCAACUGUUUAUCAAAAACACAGCUCUCUGCUAAACCGCAAGGUGAUGUAUAGGGGGUGACGCCUGCCCGGUGCUGGAAGGUUAAGAGGAGUGCUUAGACGUAAGUCGAAGGUAUGAAUUGAAGCCCCAGUAAACGGCGGCCGUAACUAUAACGGUCCUAAGGUAGCGAAAUUCCUUGUCGGGUAAGUUCCGACCCGCACGAAAGGCGUAAUGAUUUGGGCACUGUCUCAACGAGAGACUCGGUGAAAUUUUAGUACCUGUGAAGAUGCAGGUUACCCGCGACAGGACGGAAAGACCCCAUGGAGCUUUACUGUAGUUUGAUAUUGAGUACCUGUAAGUCAUGUACAGGAUAGGUAGGAGCCAUUGAAAUAGGGACGCUAGUUUCUAUUGAGGCGUUGUUGGGAUACUACCCUUGACUUAUGGUUACUCUAACCCGCUGGCAUAAUCGGCCAGGGAGACAGUGUCUGACGGACAGUUUGACUGGGGCGGUCGC